rnacentral:rRNA from 1 species
CCUACGGGAGGCAGCAGUGAGGAAUAUUGGUCAAUGGACGAGAGUCUGAACCAGCCAUGCAGCGUGAAGGAUGACUGCUCUAUGGGUUGUAAACUUCUUUUAUAAAGGAAUAAAACGAGGCACGCGUGUCUUUCUGCAUGUAUUUUACGAAUAAGGAUCGGCUAACUCCGUGCCAGCAGCCGCGGUAAUACGGAGGAUUCGAGCGUUAUCCGGAUUUAUUGGGUUUAAAGGGUGCGUAGACGGGUUGUUAAGUUAGUGGUGAAAGUUUGCGGCUCAACUGUGAAAUUGCAAUUGAUACUGGCCGUCUUGAGUGCAGUUGAGGUAGGCGGAAUGCGUGGUGUAGCGGUGAAAUGCUUAGAUAUCACAAAGAACCCCGAUUGCGAAGGCAGCUUACUAAGCUAUGUCUGACAUUGAUGCUCGAAAGUGUGGGUAUCAAACAGGAUUAGAUACCCCAGUAGUC